UACAGAGGUCCCAAGCGUUGUUCGGAUUCAUUGGGCGUAAAGGGUGCGUAGGCGGCGCGGUAAGUCGGGUGUGAAAUCUUGGAGCUUAACUCCGAAACUGCAUUCGAUACUGCCGUGCUUGAGGACUGGAGAGGAGACUGGAAUUUACGGUGUAGCGGUGAAAUGCGUAGAUAUCGUAAGGAAGACCAGUGGCGAAGGCGGGUCUCUGGACAGUUCCUGACGCUGAGGCACGAAGGCCAGGGAAGCAAACGGG
rnacentral:rRNA from 1 species